rnacentral:rRNA from 1 species
AUUGAACGCUGGCGGCAGGCUUAACACAUGCAAGUCGAGCGGUAACAGAGAGAAGCUUGCUUCUCUGCUGACGAGCGGCGGACGGGUGAGUAAUGCCUAGGAAUCUGCCUAGUAGUGAGGGAUAACUUGCCGAAAGGUAAGCUAAUACCGCAUAUGUCCUACGGGAGAAAGGAGGGGACCUUCGGGCCUUUCGCUAUUAGAUGAGCCUAGGUCGGAUUAGUUAGUUGGUGAGGUAAUGGCUCACCAAGGCCGCGAUCCGUAACUGGUCUGAGAGGAUGAUCAGUCACACUGGAACUGAGACACGGUCCAGACUCCUACGGGAGGCGGCAGUGGGGAAUAUUGGACAAUGGGGGGAACCCUGAUCCAGCCAUGCCGCGUGUGUGAAGAAGGUCUUAGGAUUGUAAAGCACUUUAAGUUGGGAGGAAGAGCAGUUAACUAAUAUUUGACUGUUUUGACGUUACCGACAGAAUAAGCACCGGCUAACUUCGUGCCAGCCGCCGCGGUAACAC